CCCUUAGAUGUUCUGGGCUGCACACGUGCUACACUGGCAGGUUCAGCGAGCUUCAUGCCCUGAUCUGAAAGGAAUGGGAAAUCUUUUCAAAACCUGCCGUGCUUGGGAUCGAUGUUUGCAAUUAUUCAUCUUCAACGAGGAUUGCCUUGUAAGCGCACGUCAUCAGCGUGCAUUGAAUACGACCCUGUAUUCUGUACACACCGCCCGUCGCUCCUACCGAUUGAAGUUUUCGGUGAGUUGACAGGAGGAUUUUUUUGAAACUGGUUCGCCAGUGGAUUUUAGAUCCAAAUGCCAACGAAUCGAUGGCUUUAGAGGAAGGAGAAGUCGUAACA
rnacentral:rRNA from 1 species